UUGCGUAAUUAUCUUGAAAAUAGGACAAACGCUGAUGAGAAAUCCUUGAUUAUAAAGGUUGCCUCUUGUAGGUUGAAAUGCCAGACCGAAAGACAAUAGGAGUGAAACCCCUCCUCACAAAGGACUUUUUUUUUCCCUGAAGUAAGAGUGCCCAUGUGGGAAAACCAGCUUUAGACUCCACUUUUGCUGAAGAAGAACUUUCUUUGCGCAGGAGUCUCACAACUGCAGAAGUUUUGCGCUGGUUGGGUGGACAGAAGAGAUUUUUCCUUAACAUCCUGGUGCUGAGAUGAUGGACUGAUUAUCCAGAACAGGCACAAGGUGUGCCGAAGAUCCAACGCAUCAACCUCCCCAAACACAGACUCCCAAGAGCCAAGAAAAGUUUUCACAGGGAGAGGCUGCCUACAUCUGCUGUACACAACCAGUCAGGACCUGGAGUAUAGCAGAGUUCAAGAAGUGGAUAAACUACAAUUUCAAUAUUUUAAUAUUACUCAAAAUUAUUUUUAGCACUUGGAGACUGAAUAUUCUCCUGGAGUCAUCAUAUGUCAGAAUUGUCCAAGGCUGUGUGAAACUGUUGCCCAAUAGGUGAACAUGGAGACACAGCUAGACCCCAUGAAGGAUGAUUUGCCUUUAAUGGCAAACACUAGCUACAUGCUUGUAAAGCACUAUGUAUUGGACUUGGAUGUGGAUUUUAAAAGUAAAGUUAUUGAAGGCAGCAUAGUUUUGUUCUUUGAGACUGGGAGCCAGUACAGGAAAACCAGCAGUGCUGGCAAAGAAUGCUGCCAGUCACAGUUUGAUGAAACCUGUAAAAUGAGGGCAUCUGAACCCUGCCACGUUCCUAUGUUAAAUGUUAAAAUGAAAUGUAAUGAUUUUGCUGUCAGUGGUAAAGAGGAAGCUACUUCUGAUGAAAAUAGUAACCAUAGCAACAAUGAACAGGCUUCUGGGAUUUCUAGUUCAAAGGACUGCUGUGACAUAGAGGAUCGUGGAAACAAGGAUUUUCUGCUGGUAUUGGAUUGCUGUGAUUUAUCUGUGCUAAAGGUUGAAGAGGUAGAUGUUGCUGCUGUGUCAGGCAUUGAAAAAUUUACAAGGUCUGCCAAGCUAACUGGUGUUUCAAAGGAGCUGGAAAAUCUCAGGAUUCGGAUUGUACAUGAACUUGUGACUUUACCUGCAGAUCGCUGGAAGGAACAGCUAUACUAUUUUACUCACUGUAGCCAGGCACCUGGCUGUGGGGAGCUUCUGUUUAGUACUGGCACCUGGAGCUUGGAGAUACGGAAAUCAGGAAUUCAGACUCCAGCGGACUUUCCUCAUGCAAUAAGAAUAUGGUACAAAACCAAGCCAGAGGGAAGAUCUGUUACAUGGACUACAGAUCAGAGUGGCAGGCCAUGUGUUUACACAAUGGGAUCACCAAUAAACAACAGAGCCCUCUUUCCAUGCCAAGAGCCACCAAUUGCCUUGUCAACAUGGCAAGCCUCAGUUCGAACAGCUGCAGGCUUUGUUGUGUUAAUGAGUGGUGAAAACUCAGCCGAACCAGUCCAGCUUCGAGAAGGUAUCUUGAGCUGGUACUACUAUGUGUCUAUGCCAAUGCCAGCAUCCACCUUCACUAUUGCUGUGGGGUGCUGGCAGGAAGUUAAACAGCAGUCCUUCAAACAAAAAGCUGCUAUUGGAACAAACACUGAGUUUUCCUUGCCAUCAUCACAAACUGAUUUAAGGUGGCAUGAAGAAAUCUGUGGUCAUGUGGAAUAUCCCUGCCGUUUCCAAAAUCCUGCUGCCAGGUUGCAAGCAGUCAUUCCUUAUAGAGUCUUUGCUCCCUGGUGCCUUAUGGAAAGCUGUGAAGAAUAUUUGCUUCAGCUAAUUCCUCAGUGCCUCUCAGCUGCUUAUGCCACACUGGGUACCCACCCCUUUUCCAGGCUUGAUGUUUUGAUUGUUCCUUCCAACUUUUCCAGCCUGGGAAUGGCUAGCCCACACAUCAUCUUUCUGUCACAAAGUGUACUGCCAGGAGGAAGCCAUCUCUGUGGAACUCGUCUGUGCCAUGAAAUUGCUCAUGCUUGGUUUGGACUGGCCAUUGGUGCUCGUGAUUGGACAGAAGAGUGGAUAAGUGAGGGGUUUGCCACUUUUUUAGAAGACAUAUUUUGGGCUAGGGCACAACAGCUGUCACAUGAUGAAAUAAAAGGGCAACAGGAAUUGAAAGCUUUACUUCGCUGGCGCCGACUCAGAGAUGAGGUGCAAAAUUCUGAAGAAGAGCUGCAAGUUUUAAGGCCCAAAAAGGAGAGCACAGGAGAACUGAGUGAGUCUGGAGCCUCUGUUGUCAAAUAUGGUCUUAAAGCAGAAAAAAUCUUCAUGCAGGUUCACUAUUUGAAGGGUUAUUUUCUUUUACGAUCUCUGGCAAGGAAAAUAGGAGAGGUCUCAUACCUUGCAUCUUUACGGAAAUUUGUUGUUAAGUUCCAUGGGCAGCUUGUUCUUUCUCAGGAUUUUCUUAGCAUGCUGUUGGAAGACAUUCCUAAACAAAAACAGUCUGGGUUAACUGUAGAAAGUAUCUUCCAGAACUGGCUGGAUACUUCUGGAAUACCAAAGCCCCUGCUGGAGGAGGGAGAGACGUGGAAGGAGUGUCAGCUCGUCCAGCAAGUGAGCGGCGAGGUCACAAAAUGGAUUCAGACAAACCAGAGGAUCAAAAAAAACAGCAAAAAGAAAAUGAAGCAGGAUGAAGUUGUUUUCCAGCAGCUUCUCCCUGACCAGCUGGUCUUACUUCUGGAGUUCCUUUUGGAGGAGAAGACAUUGUGUCCUAGAAUACUGCAGAGCUUAGAGAGAACAUACCAGCUCCGGGAGCAAGAUGCCGAGGUUCGCCAUCGGUGGUGUGAACUUGUCAUUAAACACAAAUAUGAGCCUGGGUAUGGAGACAUUGAGAGAUUCCUUAGAGAGGAUCAAGCUAUGGGUGUGUAUCUCUAUGGUGAAUUAAUGGUGAAUGAAGAUGCAAAACAACAGGAACUUGCACGGAAAUGCUUUGCUGCAGCACAAGAACAUAUGGAUGCAUCCUCAGCCAAAGUGGUGGCAGAGAUGUUAUUCUGAGAAGUCCAGCUGCGGGAGCAGUGAGUUACAUACAUGUAGGCAUAGCUGGAGAACGUGGAGAAUGGCUUUGUUGUAAUGGACUGUACAAGAGGCAACUUGGCUAAGUUCUGCACCUGAAGAGAAGGGAGAGGAGACUCUCUGCCGGGCAGAGAGCAUUUGCUGGCUGAGAUCCCUUGCUGCUGAACGGGCAGAUUUGUGAUGAAUGCAUGUGUCCGAGGUUCAGUGUAUGGAGAAUAAGAGGCAGAGGCAACCUGGGAAGGACCAAAGACUUUGAGUUUUAGUUGAGAAUUAACAGUGCUCCUUAAGUUUUCAGUCUGAUUGCAAAUGUAAGGCAUUGCCUACAGUAAUUUGGUUACCAUGCUUCCCUAAAGGUCAGAGGAAAUAACAUUUGUGACUUUAACCUGAAAUUGUCAAUAAAGCUUUUGUUUUAUAGUCUUCUCUUUAAUGGAUGCUGUCAUGAUCCUCUCUGCAGUUUUAGGUUAGUACUGUGUUGUUUGCAGGAAAUGGUGGCAGCUCCAGUCGGAAACAACUUAGAGCUGCUGCUGUUGUUCCAGGCUGUUGAUGGACCCGUCCUCCGGUGCCUACUGAGCUGAUAUCAGUUCUGAUUUUACACACUGGCUCAGUUCAGCAGGAACAGGAGUCGAGCCCUAGAGCAAAAAACAAGAUGUACCUUUCCUAAGAGCCUUUGAGAAAUGUUUUUGCUGUUUUCUCUCAAAAAAUGAAUCAGUACACAUUAUGAUAUCCUGAUGUUAGACACUAAAUGGCCUAAGGUGGAAAAGCUACCUCAGUACUGUUUAAGAGGACUAUUGGCUAAAGAUGAGAAGGUAUGUGGAUUUGUAGCACAUCACACAGUAUUGCUCUGGUAACUUGCCUCCAACAUUAUUUUCAGAGUAACCUGCUAAUAACCAAGAGAGAGAGUGCUUCCACCAUGGAUCCCUCCCUGUCUUCUCCAGACCUUGUUGUGGUAGCUUUAGGAAGCUAAAGAGACCAUUGUUAACUCUGUAGCUACAGUUACACUCUACUGGUAACCUAAAAUACAACUCAAUUUGGAAAGCUGGGGCAAUCAAGAAUUCACAGAUAUUCCUUCACUGUGACAGAGUAAUAACUUUAAAUGCUGUUUCCAUUGCAGGAAAGAUCACAGACAACUCUUUUAAUAGAUCUACUAAACCCCGGUGGUACUAGGAUUUCACUGACCCAGGACAUCAAAGGAAGGAUUAUGUGACUGCUAAAACAAUCAGCUGACAGAAAUAUUUACCUUUCUGUAUUUCCAGAGGUCCAUUGUAACUGAGAACACAUGCACACAAAACAAACUACACACACACACGUGUUACUCUGGCUCUAGGUAAUUCUUUGAUACAAGAAUUUUGGGAUUUAUUCUUGCGCUUUGGUAAUACAGUCAUUCCGGUUUGCAGAUGCCAAAGAUUCUUGAUUUGAACAACUUCAUUAAUUUGGGCAAUCUGAAAAUGGAUGAAAUUGUAUUGUGUACUUAAAAUUUUGUUUGUAACUUCUGUUCAUAUUUAUAAAACCUCAGUGUAAAAUCAGCAGAGGCUGGGGUGGGGCUCGUAAGAUUAGACAGAAGCAGAAUAAACUGUGGGAAGUUACCUGCCAUCAUCCUGGUGAUGGGAUGGGACUGAAGAAAAAACAAAGAUCAUCAUGCUCUCUCUGCCAUGUUUAGGUUAAAUUUUACUAGAUAUGUCAGACCUCCCAUUCAUACCUUUGUGGUGCUUAUUUUGCAAUGAUAUGUCAAGUGUAUCUCUUCUUUCCUGAUCAAUGAAUCUCUACAUUUUUAGAAGAUAUCUUAAUUGUUCCUUUCAGAGAGUAAGAAUUUAAACCACAAAAAUAUGUGAACUUAUUUCUCCUGUACUCUAUUGUUUUAUAUCAAGUCCUCUUUGCUAAUAAUAAAAUUAUAAAAAUAAAUUUUUUUAAAGUAC